GAGAGUGAAUGCUCAGCUGUGAUGACAUGCUUCAAACCUACAUGGGAGAUAGAGCUAUCAUUCACAUGUCUCAUCAGACAAGUUGUAAUAUGCUCCCUAAUGACACCUCAUUACCUGUAUGCACGUAGCUUCCAAAGAGAACAUUAGAUUGAAGGACUGAUACUAUGAAAUAUUAUGCAUGUUGUCCUGAAAGCUGUUGCACUUCUGGGGAGCUACCCAAAAGGAACCAGAGUUAGAAUAUGGCAGGAACCAAGUACACUCAAGCAGGAAGACACCUACUCAGGACACACCCAGGUAGAAUACGAGGAAGAUGCUGCUGUCAGCUAUGACCAAUCCCCUGGUUCAAAGCGCCCAGAGGAACUGAUCUCAUUGGCUAACCCUCGGUCAGCUUAUAUGUAGCUACAUAGUUAGAGGACACAUCCUUGUAGCAACUUUUGCUAACUGUCCUUCAGGAUCUAUUCUUUUCUUUUGAAUUCAAUGAGCAUAGUCCAUUUAACCAGAGACUCCAUGUCUCAGCCUCCCUUCCAGCGAGGAAUUGGCGAGGGCCAGUGAAAUAUGUGAAGUAUGUGGUUCAUCUUUAAGGUCAUGUAUUUAAAGACCAAUCCACUUGCCUAAACUUCCUGCCAGAGGUAGGUGGUCAAAGCUCAUGGCUGGGACAGCUGUUCUUACAUAAGAAUGAAAUAAAGUUCUCUUUUGAGACA